rnacentral:lncRNA from 1 species
CCAGGACUGUGUGUGCGCACGCGUGUGUGCAGGUGUUGCUUGGAGACUCCUGUGCCCUUGCGUGCAUGUAUGUGUCCCUGGGCACCACGGCGUGCAUAUCUGAAGUAUGCUCCUGCUGACACACACCUGCGUGCGCACAGGCCCCCGUGUGCACACGUGUGUGCAUGCUUGGGUGUCAAUGUUCACGCGUGUGUGCGUGCGUCCUCACCGUGCAUGCGCCCACAGAAAAUACCACCGAAGUCCCUCCCAUCAUCUGCUGGCCCCAACCCCACGCCUAUAUGUCUUCUCAGCUGUUCUGCCUCACCCACUCCUGCCUCACACAGCUGAGUCCCCUGCAAGGGAAGACAAAGCCUCGGCCCCAACCGUUUCAUCCAUUUCAAGAAGCUUCAACCUUUGUGUGGCUACCUUAGCAAACCCCUGCAGGGUUAGCAGUCAGAAGGCACUUGUGGACUCCCAAGGCAGGGCUGGGCAGAGGUUGAGGGUGUGGCCUCUGGCAGCAGGCAGAACAGCCUUCCAUCUCUUCUCCAGUUCCUAGCAGUGUGGUCUCAGCUAGGUCAAUCAACUUCUCCGAGCCUCAGUGGCCUCAUCUGUAAAAUGGGUCUGAUGACACCUGCCUUAAGCAGUUAUUAUGAAGGUUUGAUACAUUGUAAUACAUCGAACUACAUGAAAUUCCCUUUACUCAACCAGCUUUUGACAUUAAUGAGUAUUUACUCGGUGAAAUAUUAUAUCAAUAAACUGUCUUAUUGAAAAGAUUUCUACUUGGUGCCUGUCCUUUUCUUUUUUACUCUUGAUGUUUCGUAUUUGUAUAAAUGCUACCUGCUGAUUUUAAAGAAUUCAAGUAACACAGGAAAGCACACAGAAGAAAGUGAAAAGCAAAACACAAUAAAAUAAACCUCAAUUUCAGAAAUUAAGCCAUCAUUAAUAAAUAACCACCAUUUCCAGAAAUUUCUUUUUACAUUGAUGCAGAUAAGUUUAGAGAGAUAGAUUGCUAGAAAUUUGCUGUAAGGAGGGAUCCUAUUGAAAAUUUUAAUAUGACUUAUUAAAUCUAAUUUGAGUUUAUGUUGGCAGCAGUAAAUGAAGCAAC